GACGAACGCUGGCGGCGUGCUUAACACAUGCAAGUCGAACGGAAAGGCCCUGCUUUUGUGGGGUGCUCGAGUGGCGAACGGGUGAGUAACACGUGAGUAACCUGCCCUUGACUUUGGGAUAACUUCAGGAAACUGGGGCUAAUACCGGAUAGGAGCUCCUGCUGCAUGGUGGGGGUUGGAAAGUUUCGGCGGUUGGGGAUGGACUCGCGGCUUAUCAGCUUGUUGGUGGGGUAGUGGCUUACCAAGGCUUUGACGGGUAGCCGGCCUGAGAGGGUGACCGGCCACAUUGGGACUGAGAUACGGCCCAGACUCCUACGGGAGGCAUCAGUGGGGAAUAUUGCACAAUGGGCGGAAGCCUGAUGCAGCAACGCCGCGUGAGAGAUGAAGGCCGUCGAGUUGUAAACCGCUUUCGCCUGUGACAAAGCGUGAGUUACGGUAAUGGGUAAAUAAGCACCGGCUAACUACGUG
rnacentral:rRNA from 1 species